CCCAUCCUAUCGUCUCAUCAAAAUCCAGGGGGUUGUCCCCUGCCUUAGCUGCCUCUAAUAGCUCAUAUAGCUUGGCAGCGGGCCCCAGGGUGUCUAAUAGUUUGUCCUGGCAAUUAUGGAGUGAGAACUCCAGUCCCUUCUUGGGUUUCCAGCCUGUUUUUGCCAGGAACUGAAUAAUCUGAGGGUCAACCUCUGGCGUCUUGCACGCCGC